rnacentral:rRNA from 1 species
AGCGAACGCUGGCGGCAGGCCUAACACAUGCAAGUCGAACGAACCUUUCGGGGUUAGUGGCGGACGGGUGAGUAACACGUGGGAACGUUCCUUUAGGUUCGGAAUAACUCAGGGAAACUUGUGCUAAUACCGAAUGUGCCCUUCGGGGGAAAGAUUAAUCGCCUUUAGAGCGGCCCGCGUCUGAUUAGCUAGUUGGUUGAGGUAAUGGCUCACCAAGGCGACGAUCAGUAGCUGGUCUGAGAGGAUGAUCAGCCACAUUGGGACUGAGACACGGCCCAAAAUCCUACGGGAGGCAGCAGUGGGGAAUCUUGCGCAAUGGGCGAAAGCAUGACGCAGCCAGGCCGCGUGAAUGAUGAAGGUCUUAGGAUUGUAAAAUUCUUUCAACGGGGACGAUAAUGACGGUACCCGGAGAAGAAGCCCCGGCUAACAUCGUG